rnacentral:rRNA from 1 species
UUACUUGGAUAACUGUGGUAAUUCUAGAGCUAAUACAUGCAAACAGAGCUCCCACCGGAAACGGUGGGAGCGCUUUUAUUAGAUCAAAACCAAUCGGUGGCGGUUCGCCGUCAUCGUACAACUUGGUGACUCUGAAUAACUUUACGCUGAUCGCACGGUCUUGCACCGGCGACGCAUCUUUCAAAUGUCUGCCUUAUCAACUGUCGAUGGUAGGUUCUGCGCCUACCAUGGUUGUAACGGGUAACGGGGAAUCAGGGUUCGAUUCCGGAGAGGGAGCCUGAGAAACGGCUACCACAUCCAAGGAAGGCAGCAGGCGCGCAAAUUACCCACUCCCGGCACGGGGAGGUAGUGACGAAAAAUAACGAUACGGGACUCAUCCGAGGCCCCGUAAUCGGAAUGAGUACACUCUAAACCCUUUAACGAGGAUCAAUUGGAGGGCAAGUCUGGUGCCAGCAGCCGCGGUAAUUCCAGCUCCAAUAGCGUAUAUUAAAGUUGUUGCGGUUAAAAAGCUCGUAGUCGAAUCUGUGUCCCGCGCCGCCGGUUCAUCGUUCGCGGUGUCAACUGGCGUGCCGCGGGACGUCCUGCCGGUGGGCUUAGCUCGCGAGGGCGGCCCAACUCAAUCCCGCCGCGGUGCUCUUCAUUGAGUGUCGAGGUGGGCCGGCACGUUUACUUUGAACAAAUUAGAGUGCUUAAAGCAGGCUAAAACUUCGCCUGAAUACUGUGUGCAUGGAAUAAUGGAAUAGGACCUCGGUUCUAUUUUGUUGGUUUUCGGAACCCCGAGGUAAUGAUUAAUAGG